ensembl:misc_RNA Y_RNA Y RNA
GACUGGCUCGAUGGUAGUAGGUUAUCAGAACUUAUUAAUAUUUAGUGUCACUAACAUUGGUAUACAAGCCCCCACUACUAAAUUCGACUGGCUUUAA